AUGGAGGCCGCUACAAAUAUCAACCUGUUUUCUGUGAUAACAACACCUGAUAUUCCCGAGCCUCUCCCAGUCAUUCUAGAACAGCAGUCUAGUGAGAGUGCUUUGGUGCACUCAAGCAGGCCCACUAGGGAGCAAGAGAGAAUGGGAAAAAGGAGCAAGGAGCAGGAGGUGCGACACUACCUACGCGAGCAAAAGGAGAAGGCUCAAAAUGAAUUGGAUAUAUCUUCCGCCAUCAGGCUGUUUUGUCGUAGGAAUGGUCUCACACAAAGAUUGCGCUGGAUUAGGACGAUCAACAGAAAAAUCAUCGACCUGGAGGAGAGGGCAAUUAGCUUCACACUGGAUAGACUGAUGCCAAUCAGAGACACUGUGCAUGGAUAUGUGAUUGAGAAGGAAGACCUAAUAGCCGAAAUUACAAGUCUUAUGAAGAAGGAAAGGGAGUGCAAAAAUGAUCACGAAGCUGGUCCUUCCAUCACCAAGAAGGGUCGUGUGGCGCUAUAA
rnacentral:rRNA from 1 species